CACGUAGGCACCAAGCGUUGUCCGGAUUUAUUGGGCGUAAAGAGCUCGUAGGCGGUUCGAUAAGUCGGGUGUGAAAACUUUGGGCUCAACCCAAAGCGUGCAUUCGAUACUGUUGUGACUAGAGUUCGGUAGGGGAGACUGGAAUUCCUGGUGUAGCGGUGAAAUGCGCAGAUAUCAGGAGGAACACCGGUGGCGAAGGCGGGUCUCUGGGCCGACACUGACGCUGAGGAGCGAAAGCGUGGGGAGCGAACAGG
rnacentral:rRNA from 1 species